rnacentral:lncRNA from 1 species
UAAAAUCUUGAAUGAUUAGAAUAAAGGUUAAAGAAUAAAACCUAGAUGAGAAUUUGAGGAUUUAUUUAAAUUUUUCAAGUAAAACCUAUAUGGUUUGCUAUUCGAAUGAGAAUAGAGAAAAUAUGGGUUACAAAAUUCCAAAACCCUAGAAAUGAAUUAAUAUGUACUUGAAGGAAUAUUAAGAAUAAGGUAUUACGAUACCUUUAAAUUCGAUGUGAACGGAAUAGUCUAAAAAAAAUGUUAUAUAAGUACAUAUGGAAAUUUUAUUAUUGGAGAUAAGAUUUCACAUGAAGAGAUGCUAUGAGGUUAAACGAAGAUGAGUAUAUGUAUAGAAAUAUAUUUACUUAGUAAUGUGCUAUAUAUAUUU